rnacentral:rRNA from 1 species
AGUGAACGCUGGCGGCGUGCUUAACACAUGCAAGUCGAACGCGAAAGGGGAGCAAUCCCCAAGUAGAGUGGCGAACGGGUGAGUAAUGUGUGGGUAAUUUGCCUUUCAGCGGGGGAGUAAACCCGGGAAACCCGUGAGCUAAUACCCCAUAACAUGGCUUGAUCUUCGGAUCGAGUCAUCAAACGAUGGCCUCUGCUUGCAAGCUAUCGCUGGAAGAUGAGCCCACAUCCUAUCACGCUUGUUGGUGGGGUAAUGGCCUACCAAGGCGACGACGGGGUAGCGGCCUGA